AGGGGACAUUCAAACUGAUGAACAUGCCCAUGCACAUGAGAAGUGGUUUGUAGCUCAGUUACUUGUGACUUAUACUUGUUUCCACAGGAGACGUAGCGUGAGCAGCACAUUGGCCAAACAGCUAAAACGCCUCGUGUAAACAUAUCGUAGCGUGACAGGAUUUAUUAGCCUGAACACUAUGUACACUAUAGAUAUUUGCUGUGCAGUAUUUUUUUUCCUGUGUUGAACUCUCAGGGCCACCUAAAAUUUGGCCUUUAAAGGAGAACUUUUUUUGUCUGAGAACACAGACUGAUCUACAUGCGCACAAAGCAUUUAGAAAUGACUAAGUCAUGGAAGUGAUGUCCUCAGUUUGUAAUGAUAAAUGCAGGGAACGGAGCUGAGAAACGGGCUGCUUUCUGCUCUGACUGUUGUGUGCAUCUGGGGAGGAGACGAGUUGCACAGCCUGUUUUCAACAUGCCACUCCUCAUUACCAUCCACAUUCAAGCAGAGCUCUGCAAACCAUGGCAUUAAAUAAACAUGGAAACCCACUUUCAUCAAAAGGACCUCCCUCACUGACACUUCGUAAUAUAUGCAAUGCAAGCGCCUCUGCAUGCUCAAACCUUUGAAUGAAAGCAGUCAACAAAACAGUAUUCCCAUGCAUAUUACUUACGUCCUCUUUUAGUUGACCACUCAUCCUGUUUGCUUGCUGGUACCCGUUCCAAACACUAGCUUUCAGGUUUAAAAUGACUGUAGAUAUGACAUCUGUGUGUGUGUGUGUGCACAUUUGUUUAAUAUUCUAUUAUCAUACAUACAUUUAUUACCCUUGUUUAUUUACAACAUCAUCUUGUGCCAGAAAAUAAUUUGAAAUAUUUAUAUAUUUUAAGGAUGGCAGGAAGUACACUGCAGAGAUUAAAUUUCAUGUAAAUGUGCAGUAAAAUAUACAUCCAACUGUAUCACAUUGAUGGAACUGUCUCUGUGUGAACAUUAGUCACGUACAAUAUCCCAGAAAAGUUCUGGCCUGAUUUGGAUGAAGCCGGGCUCAUAAUGUCUGUUUUCCCUUUUGAGAUCUAGCAUUGGCAAAAUUACAGUCAUUUGCUUUGAUAUGAAAAUUAAAGACUGACAGGUACAUCUUCUUUCUGAACAUUUUAUUCAUAUGAGCAAUUUGUAAUGCUGUAUGUUUUGUGUGCUUUAUUUUUAAAUGUUAAAUGUAGUUUUGAAAUCCAACACAAGAUCCAUCUGGCGAUUUAAAACUAAAUCUACUGCCAGACAUAGUGUGUCUCCUGACAUAGCUAUUGGCUAUUGUACUUUGUCAAAUAAAACUAGUAGGGGCUCAUUAUGUAUUUCUUUUUUUGUGUGGCAUUUUUAGGCCUUUAUUUCUUACAGGACAGCUUAAAAAAGGGAGAGAAAGGGGGAAUGACAUGCAGCAAAGAGCCACAGGUCAGAACCAAACCUGUGGUCGCUGCAUUGAUGACUGAGCCUCUGUAUAUGGGAGCGUGCUUUACCAGGUGAGCUACCCAUGCACCCACUCAGUAGGUAUUUUAAUGGUACUCUGUAUGUACACAAUGUAAUUUACAGGCUGUAAUUUAAAGCUUGACCGUAGCUCACAUAGCAUGGCAUUAAAGUCCAGUUAAUGAGCUGAAGCAAUAGUUGGAUGAGAAGAUUGAGUAGUCAGUCAGCUUAGCUUAGCACAAAUGUAUUUACAUGUUGCUGCGAGCACUCAACGCUCCUUGGUGUGUUUUCGGCGUUACUUGCGGUUCGGGAGUUCCAGGUUAACCGACUGAAGUCAUUGAUGUGUGGUUAAACCAAAGGCUUUGGUUUCAGAACAGACAGCAGAUUAAGGAAGUGAGAAAUUCUCUCCCUAGUAUGCAGAUUAUAUCGAAAUCACGCUCACCUCUCCCUUUUCCCUUUACACCUCUACCCUCCACAUCAAAAUGAUGACAGAGUUGAAACUGAAAACCUCUGUCGCUAAACAAAACUGUCAGGAAGAGUGACGUGAAGAAUAAAACAGAAGAUAGUCAUUGAAAUACACAUCAGAAUGCAAAAAACAAGUGUUACAUUUUUUAAUGCCUGUGUUUUAUUUUUCCAUGAAACUUCCAUGAAAGGCUUCAAUGCUGACGUUUCCAACUUGUUUCUUACGGUAGCUUCAUAUUUAGCGUGUCAAUAUGGGAUUGGUAUAGAUAUUCUCUAACUCUCGACAGAAAUCAAAUACACGUAUAUCUCAAAAUGUUCAACUAUUCCUAAAAUAAAAUCAAUGUCUCACCCCC